GAGAGCAAACCGCCGAUGGCCCGCGCAAGCGGGAUCAGGUAAGGGUGAAAGGGUGCGGUAAGAGCGCACCGCGCGGCUGGUAACAGUCCGUGGCACGGUAAACUCCACCCGGAGCAAGGCCAAAUAGGGGUUCAUAAGGUACGGCCCGUACUGAACCCGGGUAGGCUGCUUGAGCCAGUGAGCGAUUGCUGGCCUAGAUGAAUGACUGUCCACGACAGAACCCGGCUUAUCGGUCAGUUUCACCU
rnacentral:RNase_P_RNA from 1 species